AGACAAAACUCACAAAUGUAGGGGGCCCCCCUAAAACUGGACCCUCUCAGAGUUUCAACCUCUCAUGCUUAUCACACUGAACCUUCAGCAACUUGCCAAUUAUAGUUUAGAAAAUUCCUACCAAUACUGGCAGUAGUGAAGGGUUUCUGCUCCAUGUAAGCUCUGGUUCUCUGAAUUCACCUAUCGGUCUCUCCAGUUUUCAGGGCAACAGUUUCCCCCAUGACCCAAUUCUCUGUUGGAUCUAAGAAGAGUUGUUGAUUUUCAGUUGGUUCAGCUUUUUUCUUGUCAUGAAGACAUGAGUGAAGACUUCAAGCCCUUUACUUGUUGGACCAGAAAUCAGAAGUUCACCAGCCUUCCUACCCUUUCCUGCAGAGUGGCUCCAGUAGUGCCUUCAUGAGCAUGAAAGUGAUGAGAACAGCCCAGUCGGAACACAGUCAGAAAGGCAUCUUCCAAAAGUAUUGUCUUCAUAGUGGGCAAUGCAGUAAGUUCUACCAGAAAGAACAGGAGAGACGUGACUGAAACACCUUCAGAGCCUUUUCAGGUCACAGCACCCCUCUACAAUGCCACUUUCAUUCUCCGGUUUCUGGGACAACCUUGGGAGAUUUCAAAUUCUGAAUGUUGACAGACUUUGAUCCCUGAGACAACUUCUAGCUGGCAAAUUCUCCAAAUAUGAUUACCUCCAAUAUAUGAGCUCAUUUCUCUGUACUUACUCCCAAAUGGUGAACAUCGAUUUGCGACAUUAAUGAAGUAAGUACCCAACUAUCCUUGUUCAUGAGCUAUUACCUCGGUAUUGAUUGUAGCCUUAAUUGACAAUUACUUGAGUGGGCUGGACUAUACUGAGCUUUUAUUAAUUUUCCAUGGUGAUACUCAUUACUAAACUUCAUUGCAAUUGUGUAACAAUGUACACUCCCCCCUGUAGCUCACUGAACUGGAAAAUUCCACUGGCCAUUUCCCAAACCUCUUUAUCCUGGAAAAUAAAGAAUUUUGCUAUUGCUAAAUUUGAUAUCAGGAUUCUAGACCUCGAUUCUGCGGGGAGAGAAUUGGCUGUGAAAAUAAAUAGAAUUUGCUAAAUUAUUUUUUCUUCACUGUUAUUUCAGAGAACAUGUUGUAUCCACGGACUUUAUUCUAUCCCUUGCUUCCUAGAGGGACAAUGAACUCCAUGCUACUGUAAAAUUAUAUUCAUUCUUC